UUGAAAUAGAGAGUAUUUUUCUUUAGUACAAAAAUAGAGAGUUUGAACUAUAAUAUGCGUAAUUAAAUGUAUGAGAUAUAAAUAUUAUGAAAAUUGAAAUUUAAGAGGGAAAGAAAGAGGAGAGUUGUUUCCGAACACACCCACUACUUUGGUUGGUUUGAACGGAAAUCAUUUUGCCGAACAGAAUCGAAGUGGGCUCUUGAAGCAUACGACUCCCGAUAAUUACACGCACAGGCAUUGUUCUAAUCGUUCAUUUGAAUGAGGAGGAAAAACAGAAUGAGAUUUUGGAUGAGAUAUGUACAACAUUGGUUGGAAUGCAUAAAACUGGCGUUGUGGUGGAUGAGCUUGUAGCAGGUAGUGCUUGAUAUGAAAUGCUUGUACAAAUUUAUUGAUUGCUGUUGUGGGGAAAUUGGUUCAUAAUUUGGCUUCAAAAGUUGUAAUUGAUUCUUAUCUUAACCUUCAUUUUUUUUCCAUAUGUACUGAAUAAGGGGAUAUA